AAUGCGGAGGAACAAGAAACCAACAGGGAUUGCCCUAGUAACGGCGGAGUGAAGCGGCAAUAGCUCAAAUUUGAAAUCUGCCCUCGGGCCGAGUUGUAAUUUGCAGAGGAUGCUUUUGGCGCGGUGCCCCCCUGAGUCCCCUGGAACGGGGCGCCAGAGAGGGUGAGAGCCCCGUACAGUUGGACGCCAAGCCAGUGUAAAGCUCCUUCAACGAGUCGAGUAGUUUGGGAAUGCUGCUCAAAACGGGAGGUAAAUUCCUUCUAAAGCUAAAUACCUGCCAGAGACCGAUAGCGCACAAGUAGAGUGAUCGAAAGAUGAAAAGCACUUUGAAAAGAGAGUUAAACAGCACGUGAAAUUGUUGAAAGGGAAGCGCCUAUGACCAGACUUGCGCCGGGUCGAUCUCCCGCCGUUCUCGGCGGUGUACUCGGCCCGGUUCAGGCGGCAGGCCAUUAUCGGUUUCCGCAGGGGGAUAAAAGCUCCGGGAAUGUGACUCCCCUCGGGAGUGUUAUAGCCCGGGGCAUAAUACCCCUGCUGGGACCGAGGACCGCGCCCUCGCGAGGAUGCUGGCGUAAUGGUCAUCAGCGACCCGUCUUG
rnacentral:rRNA from 1 species